rnacentral:rRNA from 1 species
CCUACGGGGGGGCUGCAGUGAGGAAUAUUGGUCAAUGGGCGGAAGCCUGAACCAGCCAAGUAGCGUGCAGGAUGACGGCCCUACGGGUUGUAAACUGCUUUUAUACGGGAAUAACGCGCCUUACGUGUAGGGCUUUGCAUGUACCGUAUGAAUAAGGACCGGCUAAUUCCGUGCCAGCAGCCGCGGUAAUACGGAAGGUCCGGGCGGUAUCCGGAUUUAGUGGGUUUAGAGGGAGCGUAGGCCGCAUGUCAAGCGUGCUGUGAAAUGUCCGGGCGCAACCCGGGCCUUGCAGCGGGAACUGGGGUGCGUGAGUGCGCGGAAGGCAGGCGGAAUGCGUGGUGUAGCGGUGAAAUGCUUAGAUAUGACGAAGAACCCCGAUUGCGAAGGCAGCUUGCUGCAGCGGAACUGACGCUGAUGCUCGAAAGCGCGGGUAUCGAACAGGAUUAGAUACCCGGGUAGUC